GAUUGCCUCAGUACGGCGAGUGAAGCGGCAAAAGCUCAAAUUUGAAAUCUAGCACUUUCAGUGUUCGAGUUGUAAUUUGAAGAAGGUAACUUUGGUUUUGGCUCUUGUCUAUGUUCCUUGGAACAGGACGUCACAGAGGGUGAGAAUCCCGUGCGAUGAGAUGCCCAAUUCCAUGUAAAGUGCUUUCGAAGAGUCGAGUUGUUUGGGAAUGCAGCUCUAAGUGGGUGGUAAAUUCCAUCUAAAGCUAAAUAUUGGCGAGAGACCGAUAGCGAACAAGUACAGUGAUGGAAAGAUGAAAAGAACUUUGAAAAGAGAGUGAAAAAGUACGUGAAAUUGUUGAAAGGGAAGGGCUUGAGAUCAGACUUGGUAUUUUGCGUUCCCUUCCUUUUUGGUUGGGUUCCUCGCAGUUUACUGGGCCAGCAUCGGUUUGGAUGGUAGGAUAAUGACAUUGGAAUGUAGCUUUACUUCGGUGAAGUGUUAUAGACUUUGUUGAUACUGCCUAUCUAGACCGAGGACUGCGUCUUUGACUAGGAUGCUGGCGUAAUGAU
rnacentral:rRNA from 1 species